rnacentral:tRNA from 1 species
GCCUUCUUGGAUCAGAUAGCAGAGCGUCUGCCUAGUAAGCAGAUGGCCAUCAGUUCGAUUCUGGUAGAAGGCA